rnacentral:miRNA from 1 species
UCGGGCGCAAGAGCACUGCAGU